GCAGGAUCCCAUAGCUAGUUUCUGCUUCUUGCAUAUUUUGAGGGGUAGUUUACCAGCACAAAGUCUACUGUUUCCAAGAUUUUCUUGGAAACAGUACCUGCCAACCCUCCUGGAGGAGAAGCUCUGUUCAAACAACAGAACUUUCAGAUGGGAGCAGUGAUCCUGUCUGCAGAGCUACUCAGUGGGUGUGGGGCUCUGUGUUGACACAGGAUGAUCAUUCUCGUGUGCUCUGUUUUGGGGAAGGUCAGGCUGUAGUCAGCUUCUGCAGGGAGCAAACAGUUCUUGGCAGUUUCCUGCCAUAAGAAAAGAGACUGAAAAGUCAUCUUCAUUUAUCUUCUUCUUUGUUAAUUAGGUAGACAAUGCUGAAGGCCACAAAAUCUUAAGUACCACCCAUCAGUUUGGAAAAUGGCCUUUGUUAUGUGUUUUCCUUUUUUAGCUUAACAGGUGGAUAUUACUUAAGACAUGACUUUACAUUGAGGGUUUAGAGUGCAGUAAGGCUUUUGUUAAUUCUGUUUCCUUACAACUGUAGCACUUGCAUUUUCUUCAAAUAACCUGAUUUUCUAGAUGCCUUGAUUUUCAUGUCUUUGUUCAUGGAGGGCUGUUGGUCAGGAUUUUGUUUGUUUGUUUGUUUUAAUUGGCUUGGAAGGGUGUUUCAGCUGGGAAUGUAACCUGGGUGAAGGUGUGGAAUGAUGUUCACUUCAGGAGCCCCAAUGCUACAGGGCCCUUUUAGCCUAGGUGUUGGUACAAGCAUUUGUGUGUUCCCUGCCUACUCUGCGCCACCUCCCCUUGCCUUCAGUCAGUUCCUCUCAAAAACCCUCAACUUGAUGUGGCCUUGUGCCUGCCUAAUUUCUGCUCUGGGUGGCAGUAAGUGUCUUUUGGCUGUCUCUGUCGGGAGGUGACACUUGUGCCUGGUCCUUAAGCUGAACAAGGCCAUUUAUUGGCUUGGAAGCCUUGAGUGCCCUGUAGGAUUAGAAACAUGGAUUGUUAUUUUCAUUCAGUGUCCUGUACCCUGGCACAAAGGGAGGUGUGGCUUGUCUGGUGUUCAUUUCUGCCCCGUAGUCCUUGUGAGGCUGCCCUUGGUUACCAUGUCCUGGCUGGAGGCUGCAAACCCAGGCACUUGUUUUGCUGUGAGGAGUCUGCCUGACCUCUGGACACACUAAUUGGACCAUCCUGGAGCCUGAUGCCAAGCUAUGCUGCUGGACAGUGCUCACGAGGCUGGAAAGUGGAGGAGAGACAAGAAGUUGCUGGGUGUUAUAAUAACCUGCUUUAAUGCUGGCUGGUGGUGAAGUCAGGAGCAGGAAGGUGCACAGAGAUUCUUGGAUGAAUGCAGCCCACCAUGUCUUCAAAAAAUAAAAUGGGUGAUCACCAGAAGAUGACAGAGCUCUCAACUAGUGUUCAGGCACUUGGGGAAAACAGGUUCUGUUUAAAGGCAUUGAGAAUAGACUACAAUGGAUUUUUCCAGCUAUGAGUUGAAUGUUGUUCAUGCAUGGAAGGAUUGUGGCUCUGUGAUCACCAUUCAGAAAGAUUAAGGCAUUCCUGGAUUGGGUUGGACUGGAGCUGGUGCUUUGCCUUCGCUGUGUUUCCCUGGGAGCCCAAGUUAUUUGCCCACAGUGAUAUAAGAAGUCUCUACAAGAAACAAGAUCUUUGUCUCCCAGUCUGUUUCAGACCAUCCUUUCUUACAUUCAGUCAGAGCUUUUCUAUUUGUUUUUAUUGCUUAGCAAACCUAUUAUGUAGUUGAUGAAGAGGAAUACAGGCCGUCAGGACAUUUGUUAAUAAAAAAUAAAUAUAACUCAGUUUUUAAAUAGGAGCAUGAAAUUUAGCCUGAUAGAGAAUAAAAAUGACGAGCAAAAUAUUUAUAAUAAUUCUCACACUUACAACAGCUUAUUUUUCUUUUGUUAAAAACGUCUUCCUAAACACUCAUUUUCUAAAGCUUUAGUCGAAUUAAACCAUGAUUAACAUGUCAAAAUCAAUCUUCUGUCUUUCUUCCUUUCAAGUCAAUCAAAAGCUUUCUAUUGUCAACAAGAGAAGGGGCAAAAAUGAAGGUCAACAUUGCAUCAGUCUUUUCAAAAAGCUCUGCAUUGUAAAUUAUUUAGGGGCUCAAAUCAAUCCAUU